rnacentral:rRNA from 1 species
AUUGAGCGCUGGCGGCACGCUUAACACAUGCAAGUCGAACGGCAGCAUAAGGGGUUUACUCCUUGAUGGCGAGUGGCGAACGGGUGAGUAACGCGUAGGGAUCUGCCUGUUAGAGGGGGAUAAGCCGAGGAAACUUGGACUAAUACCGCAUACGCUCUGAGGAGGAAAGGACGGGACUGCCGAGAGGUGGCCGUGCGCUAACAGAUGAACCUGCGUUAGAUUAGCUAGUUGGUAGGGUAAAGGCCUACCAAGGCGACGAUCUAUAGCUGGGCUGAGAGGAUGACCAGCCACACUGGAAUUGAGGGACGGACCAGACUCCUACGGGAGGCAGCAGUGGGGAAUAUUGGACAAUGGGGGAACCCUGAUCCAGCGAUGCCGCGUGUGUGAAGAAGGCCUGAGGGUUGUAAAGCACUUUAGUUGGGGAGGAAAGGUUUCACUUCGAAUAGGGGUGAAAGAAGACGUUACCCAAAGAAUAAGCACCGGCUAACUCUGUGCCAGCAGCCGCCGUAA